rnacentral:rRNA from 1 species
CCUACGGGAGGCUGCAGUGGGGAAUAUUGCACAAUGGGCGCAAGCCUGAUGCAGCCAUGCCGCGUGUGUGAAGAAGGCCUUCGGGUUGUAAAGCACUUUCAGCGGGGAGGAAGGCGGUGAGGUUAAUAACCUCAUCGAUUGACGUUACCCGCAGAAGAAGCACCGGCUAACUCCGUGCCAGCAGCCGCGGUAAUACGGAGGGUGCAAGCGUUAAUCGGAAUUACUGGGCGUAAAGCGCACGCAGGCGGUCUGUCAAGUCGGAUGUGAAAUCCCCGGGCUCAACCUGGGAACUGCAUUCGAAACUGGCAGGCUAGAGUCUUGUAGAGGGGGGUAGAAUUCCAGGUGUAGCGGCGAAAUGCGUAGAGAUCUGGAGGAAUACCGGUGGCGAAGGCGGCCCCCUGGACAAAGACUGACGCUCAGGUGCGAAAGCGUGGGGAGCAAACAGGAUUAGAUACCCGUGUAGUC